rnacentral:rRNA from 1 species
GAUGAACGCUGGCGGCGUGCCUAAUACAUGCAAGUCGAGCGAACAGACGAGGAGCUUGCUCCCCUGACGUUAGCGGCGGACGGGUGAGUAACACGUGGAUAACCUACCUAUAAGACUGGGAUAACUUCGGGAAACCGGAGCUAAUACCGGAUAAUAUAUUGAACCGCAUGGUUCAAUAGUGAAAGACGGUUUUGCUGUCACUUAUAGAUGGAUCUGCGCCGCAUUAGCUAGUUGGUAAGGUAACGGCUUACCAAGGCGACGAUGCGUAGCCGACCUGAGAGGGUGAUCGGCCACACUGGAACUGAGACACGGUCCAGACUCCUACGGGAGGCAGCAGUAGGGAAUCUUCCGCAAUGGGCGAAAGCCUGACGGAGCAACGCCGCGUGAGUGAUGAAGGUCUUCGGAUCGUAAAACUCUGUUAUUAGGGAAGAACAAAUGUGUAAGUAACUAUGCACGUCUUGACGGUACCUAAUCAGAAAGCCACGGCUAACUACGUG